rnacentral:rRNA from 1 species
GCGAUGAUGGUUAACCGGCCUGAGAGGGUGUUCGGUCACACUGGAACUGAGAUACGGUCCAGACUCCUACGGGAGGCAGCAGUGAGGAAUAUUGCGCAAUGGGCGAAAGCCUGACGCAGCGACGCCGCGUGGAGGAUGAAGGUCUUCGGAUUGUAAACUUCUGUUAAGUGGGAAGAAAGGGCUGUUUUUAAUAGAAGCAGUUAAUGACGGUACCAUUAAAGAAAGCACCGGCUAAACUCGUGCCAGCAGCCGCGGUAAUACGAGUGGUGCAAGCGUUAUUCGGAAUAAUUGGGCGUACAGGGUGUGUAGGCGGUAUGUUAAGUCUGUUGUUAAAGACUCCGGCCUAACCGGAGACAGGCAGCGGAAACUGGCGUACUAGAGGGUGGAAGAGAGAAGUGGAAUUCUCGGUGUAGCGGUAAAAUGCGUAGAUAUCGAGAGGAACACCGAUGGCGAAGGCAGCUUCUUGGUCCAUACCUGACGCUGAAACACGAAAGCGUGGGGAGCAAACAGGAUUAGAUACCCUGGUAGUCCACGCUGUAAACGAUGAUCACUAGACGUUGGUUCUGUUUUACAGAAUCAGUGUCGCAGCUAACGCG